rnacentral:rRNA from 1 species
UGGUGGGUAGUUUGACUGGGGCGGUCUCCUCCUAAAGAGUAACGGAGGAGCACGAAGGUUGGCUAAUCCUGGUCGGACAUCAGGAGGUUAGUGCAAUGGCAUAAGCCAGCUUGACUGCGAGCGUGACGGCGCGAGCAGGUGCGAAAGCAGGUCAUAGUGAUCCGGUGGUUCUGAAUGGAAGGGCCAUCGCUCAACGGAUAAAAGGUACUCCGGGGAUAACAGGCUGAUACCGCCCAAGAGUUCAUAUCGACGGCGGUGUUUGGCACCUCGAUGUCGGCUCAUCACAUCCUGGGGCUGAAGUAGGUCCCAAGGGUAUGGCUGUUCGCCAUUUAAAGUGGUACGCGAGCUGGGUUUAGAACGUCGUGAGACAGUUCGGUCCCUAUCUGCCGUGGGCGCUGGAGAACUGAGGGGGGCUGCUCCUAGUACGAGAGGACCGGAGUGGACGCAUCACUGGUGUUCGGGUUGUCAU